rnacentral:rRNA from 1 species
UACGGAGGAUCCAAGCGUUAUCCGGAAUCAUUGGGUUUAAAGGGUCCGUAGGCGGUUUAGUAAGUCAGUGGUGAAAGCCCAUCGCUCAACGGUGGAACGGCCAUUGAUACUGCUAGACUUGAAUUAUUAGGAAGUAACUAGAAUAUGUAGUGUAGCGGUGAAAUGCUUAGAGAUUACAUGGAAUACCAAUUGCGAAGGCAGGUUACUACUAAUGGAUUGACGCUGAUGGACGAAGGCGUGGGUAGCGAGCAGG